rnacentral:rRNA from 1 species
UACAGAGGUCCCAAGCGUUGUUCGGAUUCAUUGGGCGUAAAGGGUGCGUAGGCGGCGCGGUAAGUCGGGUGUGAAAUCUCGGAGCUUAACUCCGAAACUGCAUUCGAUACUGCCGUGCUUGAGGACUGGAGAGGAGACUGGAAUUUACGGUGUAGCGGUGAAAUGCGUAGAUAUCUGGAGGAACACCGGUGGCGAAGGCGGCAUCCUGGACCAACACUGACGCUGAGGAGCGAAAGCCAGGGAGCAAACGGGG